CGGUACAGCGGGCGAGAUGAAUAAAGUGGAAUGAUAAAAUAGUUGGGGUAUGUUUCCGAUGGGUCCGAAGAAAGGGAAGGGGAAAGAGAAGUGCAAGGACUCAAGUGAGAUGAGUCCCAGUCCUAAAUAUCCGGCGUGUCUUCGCGCCGUAAGCCCCACCUCCGUAGCAAUCACCAUCCACGCCAAGCCUGGUUCCAAAUUGGCUUCUAUUACUGAUUUCAAUGACGACGCAUUAAGUGUUCAAAUCGACGCUCCUGCAAAAGAUGGUGAAGCUAAUGCUGCUCUCCUCGAUUAUAUCAGCUCCGUUUUGGGUGUUAAAAGGCGGCAGCUGUCUAUUGGUUCUGGUUCCAAAUCAAGGGGAAAACUUGUCUUGGUGGAAGAGGUCACUUUACAGGGCGUCUUCGAUGCUUUAGACAAAUGUUUCAAAGCCCGGUGAAGUCAUACACAUGAUUGCUUUGUCGAAAAUGGAACUGAAUUCCUUACAGAAUCCAUGUUAAUGGCCUAAAACAAGGUUCAAACGGGUUUGAUCUUUCUCAAUCAUUCCGGCCGAAACUUGUACGCAUAGAAUAAGAUUUGAACCUCGACUCUGAAGAAUCUUCUACAACCAUGCGGAUCCCUGAAUUCUAUUAUCCAGCAUGAAGUGAAGUGAAUUUUCUUUCCAGUACAAAUAAUGGUUAACUUCCGAGUAAGAAUUGAAUCUAAAUCCCACUCUUUCCUAAAUUUUGUGAUCCUCUUCAGUUCUAUUAUCCAGCAUGAAGUGAAGUGAAUUUUCUUUCCGGUAUAAAUGAUGGUUAACUUCCGAGUAAGAAUGGAAUCUAAAUCCCACUCUUUCCUAAAUUCUGUGAUCCUCUUCAGUAGCUGUUUUACAGUUUGGGUAUAGCCACCCAACCUUCUCAUAUUUCUGAAGAUCUUGGUGAAUGUUCUAAACCCUUUCCUUAUCCUAUAUAGAGGCUAGAUUCUAUCAGUGUUUACACUAGAUGUGUUAUCGUGAAGAACAUAUACAUCUUGUAACCUAGCAGCUCUUAGUGAUAAAAAUAUAAAUCACUGAUAAAAAUAUAAAUCACUGAUAGAAUAGUUUUAUUCUACCGUGAACAGUUUUUGUAAGUUGAAUAAAAACUGAUUUAAUCUUUCAUUGUGUUCUUAUUA